CGACCUGGGUUCAGACGAGGCUACCCGCUGAACUUAAGCAUAUCAAUAAGCGGAGGAA
rnacentral:rRNA from 1 species